rnacentral:tRNA from 1 species
GCGCCUAUAGUUUAAGGGAUAAAACGAGGCCCUCCUAAGGCUUAGCUUCAGGUUCGAGUCCUGAUAGGCGCACCA